rnacentral:rRNA from 1 species
GCGGCGUGCCUAAUACAUGCAAGUCGAACGCUUCUUUUUCCACCGGAGCUUGCUCCACCGGAAAAAGAGGAGUGGCGAACGGGUGAGUAACACGUGGGUAACCUGCCCAUCAGAAGGGGAUAACACUUGGAAACAGGUGCUAAUACCGUAUAACAAUCGAAACCGCAUGGUUUUGAUUUGAAAGGCGCUUUCGGGUGUCGCUGAUGGAUGGACCCGCGGUGCAUUAGCUAGUUGGUGAGGUAACGGCUCACCAAGGCGACGAUGCAUAGCCGACCUGAGAGGGUGAUCGGCCACAUUGGGACUGAGACACGGCCCAAACUCCUACGGGAGGCAGCAGUAGGGAAUCUUCGGCAAUGGACGAAAGUCUGACCGAGCAACGCCGCGUGAGUGAAGAAGGUUUUCGGAUCGUAAAACUCUGUUGUUAGAGAAGAACAAGGAUGAGAGUAACUGUUCAUCCCUUGACGGUAUCUAACCAGAAAGCCACGGCUAACUACGUGCCAGCAGCCGCGGUAAUACGUAGGUGGCAAGCGUUGUCCGGAUUUAUUGGGCGUAAAGCGAGCGCAGGCGGUUUCUUAAGUCUGAUGUGAAAGCCCCCGGCUCAACCGGGGAGGGUCAUUGGAAACUGGGAGACUUGAGUGCAGAAGAGGAGAGUGGAAUUCCAUGUGUAGCGGUGAAAUGCGUAGAUAUAUGGAGGAACACCAGUGGCGAAGGCGGCUCUCUGGUCUGUAACUGACGCUGAGGCUCGAAAGCGUGGGGAGCAAACAGGAUUAGAUACCCUGGUAGUCCACGCCGUAAACGAUGAGUGCUAAGUGUUGGAGGGUUUCCGCCCUUCAGUGCUGCAGCUAACGCAUAAGCACUCCCGCCCCUGGGGAGUACGACCGCAAGGUUGAAACUCAAAGGAAUUGACGGGGGCCCGCACAAGCGGUGGAGCAUGUGGUUUAAUUCGAAGCAACGCGAAGAACCUUACCAGGUCUUGACAUCCUUUGACCACUCUAGAGAUAGAGCUUCCCCUUCGGGGGCAAAGUGACAGGUGGUGCAUGGUUGUCGUCAGCUCGUGUCGUGAGAUGUUGGGUUAAGUCCCGCAACGAGCGCAACCCUUAUUGUUAGUUGCCAUCAUUUAGUUGGGCACUCUAGCAAGACUGCCGGUGACAAACCGGAGGAAGGUGGGGAUGACGUCAAAUCAUCAUGCCCCUUAUGACCUGGGCUACACACGUGCUACAAUGGGAAGUACAACGAGUCGCAAAGUCGCGAGGCUAAGCUAAUCUCUUAAAGCUUCUCUCAGUUCGGAUUGUAGGCUGCAACUCGCCUACAUGAAGCCGGAAUCGCUAGUAAUCGCGGAUCAGCACGCCGCGGUGAAUACGUUCCCGGGGCCUUGUACACACCGCCCGUCACACCACGAGAGUUUGUAACACCCGAAGUCGGUGAGGUAACCUUUUGGAGCCAGCCGCCUAAGGUGGGAUAGAUGAUUGGGGGUGAAUUCGUAACAAGGUAACCGGAAUCGGAAGGGUGCGGCUGGAU